GCGGAUGGCUGGAUGACCGCGGGUGACUGUGGGGGCGUGCUCCUGCGUGACGCGAGGAAAGUCCGGACUCCACAAGGCAAUGGUGCCGGGUAAUGCCCGGCCGGGGAAACCCGAGGGAAAGCGCCACAGAGAACAGACGGCCUGCGCCUGUCGCGGGUCACGGUGAAACGGUGGGGUAAGAGCCCACCGCGCGCUUGGCAACAAGGGCGGCACGGCAAGCCCCACCAGGAGCAAUGCCAAAUAGGGACCGCACGGGGCUUGCCCCAAAGCCGCCUUGGCUUUUGCAGGUCCGGGUUGGCAGCUUGAGGUGUCUGGUAACAGGCAUCCUAGAGGAAUGGUCAUCCACGGUGGCAACACCUGGACAGAAUCCGGCUUACAGGCCGUCCGCGCAA
rnacentral:RNase_P_RNA from 1 species